GCAGGGGUGGUUCAGCGGGAGAAUUCUCACCUUCCGCACAGGAGACCUGGGUUCAACUCCCAGCCAAUGCA
rnacentral:tRNA from 1 species